rnacentral:rRNA from 1 species
AUUAAUGAAUUUUAAAACGGACGGGGUUGUAGCUGGCCUUCUUAGGCAUUGUGCACACUCCGUUCAAAUUCAUCCAUACACCUCUUGUGCACCUUUCAUGUGGAUUGACUCGUUAGUAUGGCUGUCUUUAAUUAGCGGUCAGAAGAGUCUCUCUGUGUGUAAUCUAUUACAAACUUUUAAACCAGUCUAUGAAUGUUUACUAUUGCUAUAAACGCAUUAUAAUACAACUUUCAACAACGGAUCUCUUGGCUCUCGCAUCGAUGAAGAACGCAGCGAAAUGCGAUAAGUAAUGUGAAUUGCAGAAUUCAGUGAAUCAUCGAAUCUUUGAACGCACCUUGCGCUCCUUGGUAUUCCGAGGAGCAUGCCUGUUUGAGUGUCAUGUAAUCCCUCAAUCUCUAUAGAUUUUUAACGAUCUAAAGAGAUUGGAUUUGGAGACUGUCGGUUUUCUUAUUAAAUUGACUUCUCUUAAAUGCAUUAGUGUGGAUGUUUACUGAGACGUCCUCCAGUGUAAUAAUCAUUUGCGCUGUUGUGACCUCGGUAUAAUCUAUAUGUCCAUGCUUAUAACGGUCUCUUUACUGAGACAAUUAAACCUUUGCGUUUGACCUCAAAUCAGGUAGGACUACC